rnacentral:rRNA from 1 species
UACGUAGGGCGCAAGCGUUGUCCGGAAUUAUUGGGCGUAAAGAGCUCGUAGGCGGCUUGUCACGUCGAUUGUGAAAGCUCGGGGCUUAACCCCGAGUCUGCAGUCGAUACGGGCUAGCUAGAGUGUGGUAGGGGAGAUCGGAAUUCCUGGUGUAGCGGUGAAAUGCGCAGAUAUCAGGAGGAACACCGGUGGCGAAGGCGGAUCUCUGGGCCAUUACUGACGCUGAGGAGCGAAAGCAUGGGGAGCGAACAGG